AUCACAUCUAUAACACUAUAUAGUUAUACAGAGGUUACCUGGAGGUUUGUAUCACAUCUAUAACACUAUAUAGUUAUACAGAGGUUACCUGAAGGUUUGUAUCACAUCUAUAACACUAUAUAGUUAUACAGAGGUUACCUGAAGGUUUGUAUCACAUCUAUAACACUACAUGUAUAUAGUUAUAAAGAGGUUACCUGGAGGUUUGUAUCACAUCUAUAACACUAAUGACAUCAUAGUUAUACAGAGGUUACCUGGAGGUUUGUAUCACAUCUAUAACACUAUAUAGUCAUACAGAGGUUACAUGUACCUGAAGGUUUGUAUCACAUCUACAACACUAUAUACAUGUAGUUAUACAGAGGUUACCUGGAGGUUUGUGUAAAGUUUCUUUAUGGCAUAAGCAGAACACCAUUUCGUCACAUAGAACAAA